GUGCCUAGACCCUGGAGUUGGUACUCAAUAAGUAUUUGUUGAAAGAAUAAAAGAGGGAAGGAGGAAAGGAAAGGAAGAGAGGAAGGAUGUUAUUCCACCCCCUUGCUGCAUCCUAGCUUUCACUUCUCCUCCUACCAUUCUUCCUUCCCGCUGCCGUCUACCUCCUGUCUCUGGCUAUUCUUUUGCACCCUGCCACUCUCAUCCCUCCCCCUUCACCUGCUUAACUCUCAUUCUUCCUUUCCCACCUUCUCAAGCAUUUCCCUGGCUUCUCUAACCAGGUCAAACCACCACACACACACACUCUCUACCUCCACCAAGCAAGCCAGAAAAAUCAAUUAAAUGUUUAGUGUCCUCUCUUUUACGAACUUAUCACAUUACAGAUUUCUCAUUUAUGGGAGUGAUUUUUAAAAUUAAUGUCUGAGCCCCAGGGCCCCCAAUGCCACCUAGGGUUCAUGAGAAUAGGACCCUAUCUAUUCACAUUAUACCUCAAGGUACUAGCACACAGAAGGCAUGCAAUUCUAUUUGUUGGUUAAAUGAAGUCAAAAUUUACCCUCUGAAAUAAACAUGAAUUCAUAUACUAUUCUUAGCUAAGUGCUCCAUGAGAGCCUAAUAACUCUUAAUAGUCGUAGCAGCAGCAGCCAUGGUCAUUAUUGCUCUUUUCACACACAAUGUCACCUUUAGAUUCUUACCACCUCACCUGACCCAGUACCCUCAAUUAUUUGCCCCCAUCUUGCACCCUGAGCUAACCUGCAGACACUCUGUUCUUAGGAACUGCGAUCUCCUUCUUACUCUAAUGCACACUGCAGGUGCUCCCAAUCAUGCCUCCACUGUAGAACUUACCCUUCUGAAUGUGUCUACAGGUCUACGUGCUCCCCAGGGUCAUAAGUGCAGCUUAUUCUCUUCCUAUCUCUAAUGCCUAGCACUGUGACAUAUCCAAUGAAAGUUUGAAGAAACAAGAAGUUAUUCUAUUAUGACUGAUUUCAAGCCCUCUGUGAUUAGAUGACAACCUAUGAUGCAGAGACCCCCAGCAAAAAUCAAUGCCUGUCUCUUAAAUUUCAAAAGCACACCAGCCUGAGGAGGAAAGCCCAGUAAAUCACCCAACUCUUUGGUCACCUAUGUUCACAGUCUCAGGUAUGGGGAUCCAGCAGUUCUGAUCAUUCACAUCCUAGAGUCUCUCAAUUACUAUUUGAGAGGCAUUUCAAAAAUCCUCAAUUCCGAACUGUCUCACUUUGAUGAUCUGUCUAAAUUUCAAUUGCAUUGCAUCAUUUUUUCAAGUUUAUUGGUAAGAAAAAAUGCUCAUUGGAAAUAUACACAGCUUUAAGAUGGGCUUUUUGUAGACAAUUUCUUGAACACACACACACACAUUAUCUCCCUGAUAGGCAAUAAUGGCUCUUUAAGGAGCUGUCAUGAUCAAUCGUAAAAAUACAUAUUUAGAACACUUUUUAAAAUGUGUGUAUUAUAAAAAUGUUUUAAGAUGAAAACUAUUUACCCAAAAGACUAUAAUGGUUCUGAAGAGUAUUUUGUAAAUCCAUAUUUGCGACUUUAAGGGGGGAAAAAACAUUUCUGACCUGGGAGAUCUUAAAGACUACACUAAGCCAUUAACAUUUAUUGUCUCUCAAGGGCUAAAAAUGUUGCUGGGAAUAUGCUUCCAGGUUAGAGAAAAAACACAGCCCAUUCUUCUGACAAAGGGUCUUGGAUGCUUCUCCCUGUCCUGCCCCAAAGGCUGACAGACACCAGUCCAUUAUACUAACUAAUGGCACACUUAGAAGAAAAUGCCAUACAGAAGAUGUUAGCCCAGAGACCUUGACUAAUGGGUCCUGUCUAAUGUUCAAAGACCCCAUCAGCUCUGGUCACUGAUGAGACAUUCGAAGAGUAGUGCAUUAAGACCUUGGUGGAGAAAGUCACUGUGGGAAAUUUGAGAGGAUGAAUUGGAUCUUGGAGGAGAAAUCACUCUUUAUUCCUCUCAUCUGAAGCCUGAUUCAGGAGAAAAGAGAUGAUUAAGAAUCCCAUAUAAAAACCUAGUCUCCUGCACCUUUUCUAUCUCCUACCAUAGUCCUGACCAAAGAAAACGCAUGUCUGAUUAAGAGCACUUAGCCCUUCUGCUUAGUACGUACUGUGGGCUGUGUUUACCAAUGCAGGAAAACAGGACACUUUCUGGUUAAUGGGGGGAAAAAAAAGGCAUUCACUUCAAUGCUGCACCAGAAAUUUUCUUAAGAGAUACGAGGGUCUAUCUAGCGAAUAGCAGAAAAUACACUGGAUGGGCCCCAAGGUGGUAAAUGCUGUAUAGUGCCUUCAUAAUUUCUGUCAACGUUUUUUAACAAAAGAGGUUGGGUUUAGAAAAAAAAAAAAAAGAGUUGGGGAUGGAAUGAGAGAGGGGAGAAAAAGAGAAAGCUAGAAAGAAAAGGAAGACUGAAAGACAUCAGUGGUCUUAUAUCCUAAGUGCUGGCCUGAAGCAAACUGUCACAGGUCACCUCUAAACAGAAGUCAGAAAUGGAAAGUCAGAGAAACUUAACCAGAACCACAUGAGAAACACUAUUGGAUAUAAACAGUUGGGGUGGAGGCUGACAGGGGCCUCGUGUUGACAUAUUUUUCACUUUUUUAUACUCCAGAGUUCACAAAUUUCUACUGGGCUUCCUCAAAAACCUUACCUGUCAGGUCUGAAGGGCCAGCUGGGUUUGAUUAGGACAGCAGUGCACCCCUGCACGGGGGAAACGAGGUCAGGGAUGAUUGGACUCGGCUUUACACCAAAGGAAGUCCAGUCCCUAAUAGUUAAUGAAACGAGCAGAUUUCCCUUCUCACACCUGAAAUAACCUGCCUCCAGAGUCUGCCCAAUAUACUGUCUCCGAAAGCAAACAGCCCCAGCUAAGAGCACCUUCAAAGCCAAGCUUUCAUUUAUUGUCAAGACAGAAUCGAAUUGGUCUUUUUUAUGUAGCACAUGAGUUAGGCUGACCUAGCCAUUCCGACACAGCAAAGCACGGGUUCAUUGUGUUGGCUUCUUUCCCUUCCCUGUAAUGUAACAAAAGGAAUCUAAAUACUCGAGGGCUUCGAAGCCCCAGGAUGAGAGUACUGAGCUCUCAUCAUCGGUAAUGGGACUUAAACCUAGCAUUCUAGGCAGAAUGGACUUCUUUGUUGGGUACUUUUCCUCUUUUUUCCCUGAGCUUGAGAUUUCACACCAGUUACAUUCACAAACCCAUAAUAAAUCACUAGGAAUGUAAAAUACACUAUGCUCCCCCCCCCCAACACACACGUUGGCCUGGGUCAUUUAUCAUUCUGUGGAUUUCAAAAAGAUGGUAGUGUUUUUAUUGCAAAGGCCUUGUCAUUACAGAAACUAGAAAAGAAAGUAUUGAUCACAAUUAGAUCAUGGAUUAGCAGCCCCUGAUGCCUGGACUGUUGAGAAUUUCAACCUAGAUCACUCUCCCCUCUGUUAAAACUCUGGAGAGCAAAUUUCUUUUAUGUUAGAAUAACUAGUAUAAACCCAUAGAAUGUAACCUAAAAAUGUAAUUAUAAUUGCCAUGCCAAAAGCAAGCCAGUCAAUAUCUUCAAGAUUCUAAUAGUUUCAAGCACUAUUACCUUAACGGUCUCACAUCACAGUACUGAUUAAAGAAACAUUUUGUCUUUUUAUCUGUAUGGAAUGGCCAGCGUAAUCACUGAAGCAUAGAGAGCUAAAAUAUUUAUUAGUGAGUAUACAUCUUGGUUCAGGCAGUGAAUGUCAAUGUAGGGUGGAAAGCUACAACACAGCCCUCCGUUCAACCCAUCUGCAGGUUCUUCUCCUGCUCCUUGGGUGGUCACCCCAAGAAGAGGAGGAGAUCUUAGAAUCGACCCCUCCACCCAAACGCCCUCCCCCUGCAGAUUUCCCAGAAAGAAGCUCUCCUCGGGAGCUUUGAAACUGGUCGCGAAUCGACAGUGGCUAUUGUGGAACCAGUGUAACCAACAGAGACAAGCCUGAGAAACAGGCGCUGAGUGGGUGGAAAGCAUGAAGGGAGACUAGACUGACAGCGCCAGGUUCUCCCACCAGCCCUUCCUGUCCAGCCACACAGACAAGCAAACGAAACUAUUCAUUUUUACUUGAUUGAUUAACAUAAAUGCCAUCUAAAAUCUGUGAAUCAAAACCUAGCAUUUUCCCACAGGGUAUAUCAUCUAAAAUUUAUAUCUAGAAAGGUACCUAUCAUCCCAUUCGAGCCAAUUACCAAAGGCAGAAUUAGAAGGAACCUGUAAAAGGGGUUCUCCAAGCUAGACACUUAAUACUGCUUCUUUCUCCAAACCGGACCAUUGAAUUAUAUAGAUUUGGAAUGUACGCAAUAUAAAAAGGUGUUUUAAAAUGAACGACCUGUUCCCAAUCAUUUCUCCAAGAAGGAAAAAUACACUUUCUCCCAAUUAGCUGAACAGGAAGAAAAUUUAGUGUCCCAUCAGUUCAGAAGCAUCAGCACAGUGGUCAAAUUAAAAUUUCUACCAUGUGAUGUGCACAAUUAAUUUUACAAUUCCGUGUAUCCGUGGAAUGUGCGUUUCCAAAGCUAGAUACAAAAUCAGGUGAGAAAAUCGGCUUCGUUUAGGGAAAUACACUCCAUGGCCUGGUAAAAAACGCCACAGCACUGCCCUCCGAGUGAGUGCUGAGGGAAAGCAUCUAUUAGGACUCGUUGCCAGCUCUUAGGUAAACGGGAUAGCAGGCUCCCAAUCCACCCUGCUUGGGGACAAGGGAGCAGAGACGAGAGAGACCCAGAGGCGAAGGGGAUGGAAAAUGGGUGAUGUCCAGCUCCAGAAUUAAGUGAAAACGCCAACCUUGUCAUCCAGGGAUGGCCAGACAAAGGGAAGCAGCAGCAUCGCACCUGCGCAGCCUACCCAUGGGUUAACUGGCAUUUCUAAUACUUUUCACCUAGUCUGACUUGACAGAUGCCUAACCUUAGCUACUGAGUGGAGACAGGCUGAUGGGUCUUGGCCAUACAGGGGGAAAAUUUUUGAUGCUUCUCACUUAUGACAUGAUUGAUUUUCUUUCAGCGGCCCUUCACUUUGGGAAGUGGCGAGGGCUGGCUCACUGCGCCCCGGUGCGCCCUGACCCCCGACACGCGGCCGCUGUGAGGCUGGAAACCGAUGACGGCAGAAACCUAAAAAAUCAAUAGGCCCUGUCAGUCAGGGGCGAGGCGGACGUCUUUUAAAAACCCAAUCACGACAUGUAUUUGCUGCACGGUGCGGAUCUCCUGCACACUUGAGAACACACUGAAUUUCCCCUUCCCCUUAUUUAUUUACUUGGCUCCGCUUUACACUGAAUUUUCCCUCUUUUGGGGAGCAGGGGGAAGACUUCACCCUCUCAGGCAGGGAGGGAGAGGGAGCCAGCCGUGUGCUGAGGUUGGUUCUUCAUGAUAUUAACAGGAAAAAUUCCCUGGAAACUAUGUGAAUAGUAUGAAAUAAAUAGAGCACCUUGUGGCUGCCAAUAUAAACACUGACAUCAUUUUUUUGACAUUAUCUGGAAAGAAUUUAGAUAUAAGACUUUUAAGUCUAAAAACACAUGAGGGCAAAGCUGCUUGAUAGACUCAGCUAAGGGAGGAGUAUUGUUUAAUUUUUCUUUGGGGGGUUUCUUUAAGGGGAAAGAAUGGAGAACGAACACACACACACACACACACACACACACACACACACCCUAUAGUUCUCUGCUGGGGAAGUACGGCAAGCACUGUGAGAAUCCCUCCGUUCUCAAGCAGGGUCAGCGCAAUAUUCUCCAUUCAGUGAGGAAGAAAUAUCAAAUAUGCAUCUUUUCUUUGGGAGACAGACAAUGCAAAAGAUGGCAUUUAGCUUCUUCGUGAUCUGAGGAAGGGGAAAAUAAAUAUCAACUAUGACAAGCCAAAAAGAUAAGAGAAAUACCAUCCGCUGGAAGGCUGUCGCACAGAGAAAGAAACCCCACCCUCACACAAAAAGAAAAAAAGCAAAUGAAAAGGGUCUGGAGACUAUGGCAAAACAGGGAAGGAUACUCUUAGGUACAAUUAAAAUGUGUAUUAUGAGAGUUAUGUGCGAGUGUAUUUCAGAAUUUCUGUGUCAUGCUUUUCUUCUUUCUUUUCAGAAAAAGAGGUAGAUUAUGCAUCAUCUCCAAGUCCACCAAGGUAAAUAUCACAUAGAGAAAGAAAACAAAUAAACAAAAUCUGUGCCUGAAUUCCCAAACUAAGCCCAAUUAAAGGUUUCUUUAUGGCUGUAAACCUGACAAGCUACAAUUUCCCCCUGUUGCAGUGGGUGUGUGUGUUUUAAUGUAAUAUUAAUGAGCCAGGAUGGAGGGUCAUAAAAAGUGAUAGGUUUUUUCGAUGGUAAAUUAUAAAUCGGUAUUGAUUUUUCCCGGCACUAAUGCAGCCAGCUUAUUGUAAGACACCACAGGCAAAGUGCACUUUAUCAGAUUAGACUGGGGCCGGUAUCAAAUAUACAUGAGAAUAAGGAUGCAUUUGUGAGUUAGACUACACUUUUCUUCCCUAACAAUGCAUGAAAUUUUUAAGGAAAAAAAAAAAAUCCCACCAGAUGGGGAUACUGGGAAAUUCAACAUUAUUUUUCCAAAGCACAAAUUUCCAGAAUGGUUGCUCUUGGGACAAUUUAUUUCAAAAUGAAUAGAAGGCAGGAAUGAU
rnacentral:lncRNA from 1 species